rnacentral:lncRNA from 1 species
GUCAGGCUGGGUUUCAGUUCACAGUUCAGAUUGCUGUGUCAUGGUGACAUGCAAACGUUUUAAAUUGCAUGUAAAUGUCUUUACUCUGGCAAGUGAUAGACAUUUGGACCUUGUGUUGCCAUCAAUGGGCUGAAAUGGGGUAUAACUGCAUCCACAGUCAGUCUGAUAUUCUUCCCAACACUUGGGGAUGGCUGUGUGCAGACACUGGGAGAGUAGAGGCCUGCUGGCUGCUUCAUCCAUGAUAUCACUGAUCCCAUCUGUGACUUCAGUUUGUUACAGCAACAACAGGCACUGACUGAGGGAAGAUUUGUCUAGAUGGAUCUGCAUCCUGAUGCUGAAUGAACAUCCCCUCGCAGUUCCAUCAAAAAAAUGAAUGAAAAGUAAAUGAAUAGGUAAGUGAUGGGACAAUUUUCCCUUCCCAGAACACUAGGAACAAUGAAUAUUACUUCUUUGCUAUUUGUGUUUAUUUUCCUCUUUCCUUAUCUUGUUUUGAUUACAGCAUGGAGAUGAGAAGAACACACCAAGUGCUUCCAAGAAUGCACAGGACAUGAACACUUUUAUUUGUGAACAGUUUGGUUUGGCAAAAUUGUGUUUUUGUUUGCAAACUCUGCAUCAAGUGAUGAACAUGACUACAACCAUCUUUUUUGCAUGAAGAGAAAAAUGGCCAUUUCCUCCAGAAUUGAGGAACAAAUUAAGUUCCUGAACUGAGGCAUCACUGUAUUACACAAAGUGGACUUGAAGAAUGUGAAUCAUCUGUUGCAACACUCCUGUAAUUUAAAUAAAAUUCUUGGUAUUUUCUUUUAAAUUGAUUUUUCUUUUUGUAGGCUGUUUUUUGAGUCUUCUGUUGUCACAUCAUUGAAUCUCCCCCUCCCCUCAAAGAAGC